GAUGAACGCUGGCGGCGUGCCUAAUACAUGCAAGUCGAGCGAACAGACGAGGAGCUUUCUCCUCUGACGUUAGCGGCGGACGGGUGAGUAACACGUGGAUAACCUACCUAUAAGACUGGGAUAACUUCGGGAAACCGGAGCUAAUACCGGAUAAUAUAUUGAACCGCAUGGUUCAAUAGUGAAAGACGGUUUUGCUGUCACUUAUAGAUGGAUCCGCUCCGCAUUAGCUAGUUGGUAAGGUAACGGCUUACCAAGGCAACGAUGCGUAGCCGACCUGAGAGGGUGAUCGGCCACACUGGAACUGAGACACGGUCCAGACUCCUACGGGAGGCAGCAGUAGGGAAUCUUCCGCAAUGGGCGAAAGCCUGACGGAGCAACGCCGCGUGAGUGAUGAAGGUCUUCGGAUCGUAAAACUCUGUUAUUAGGGAAGAACAAAUGUGUAAGUAACUAUGCACGUCUUGACGGUACCUAAUCAGAAAGCCACGGCUAACUACGUG
rnacentral:rRNA from 1 species